AGGGAAAGGUGAAAAGCACCCCGGAAGGGGAGUGAAAGAGAUCCUGAAACCGUGUGCCUACAAGUAGUCAGAGCCCGUUAACGGGUGAUGGCGUGCCUUUUGUAGAAUGAACCGGCGAGUUACGAUCUCGUGCAAGGUUAAGCAGAAGAUGCGGAGCCGCAGCGAAAGCGAGUCUGAAUAGGGCGCAUGAGUACGUGGUCGUAGACCCGAAACCAGGUGAUCUACCCAUGUCCAGGGUGAAGUUCAGGUAACACU
rnacentral:rRNA from 1 species